AAGUCGUAACAAGGUUUCCGUAGGUGAACCUGCGGAAGGAUCAUUAACACGUAUCCAACGUUAAACCCCCCGUGAACCUUCAGUGCGCUCGCACUUUCUUAGAAAAGGUAGCAAUCCCUGGUAAAGACUGUGCUUGAGCGUGAGGCAAGUGGCCUGGCAUUCCUCUGCUUGUUGGUGUCUGAAAGUGUCACCAGCUCUGUACGAAUGGCGCAGUCACGAUCGCUAGAGGCCGACACGGCCGGCGACCGGGUCACUGGGCGCGAGCCCCCCUCGUCACCUUUGCAUGAAAACGGGCCUGCGCUUAAUUGUGCGGCCACCAAACUCGAACAACUGUUAACAAUGGAUAUCUUGGUUCUC
rnacentral:misc_RNA from 1 species